AAAGGUAAGCUACUAAGAGCGAAUGGUGGAUGCCUUGACUGGUAGAGGCGAUGAAGGACGUACUAGACUGCGAUAAGCUAGGUGGAGCUGUCAAGAAGCUUUGAUGCCUAGAUUUCCGAAUGGGGCAACCCAGUAUAUAGAGAUAUAUACUACCAUAAUGGAGCGAACGAGGGGAAUUGAAACAUCUUAGUACCCUCAGGAAAAGAAAUCAAACGAGAUUGCGUCAGUAGCGGCGAGCGAAAGCGUAAGAGGGCAAACCCAGUGCUUGCACUGGGGGUUGUAGGACUGCAAUGUGCAAGAGGAAAGGUUAGCAGAACACUCUGGAAAGUGUAGCCAUAGAGGGUGAUAGUCCCGUAUGCAAAAACCUAACCUUAGCUAGCAGUAUCCUGAGUAGGGCGGGACACGAGAAAUCCUGUCUGAAGCUGGGUAGACCACUAUCCAACCCUAAAUACUACUACCAGAUCGAUAGCGAACAAGUACCGUGAGGGAAAGGUGAAAAGAACGGCGGUGAGCCGAGUGAAAUAGAACCUGAAACCAUUUGCUUACAAUCAUUCAGAGCACUAUGUAGCAAUACAGUGUGAUGGACUGCCUUUUGCAUAAUGAGCCUGCGAGUUGUGGUGUCUGGCAAGGUUAAGCUAACGCGAAGCCGUAGC
rnacentral:rRNA from 1 species